rnacentral:misc_RNA from 1 species
UCCGGUUUAUCACCGGCAGUCCCUGCAGAGUCCUCGGCCGGCUUACGCCGCCGUUAGCAACAGCAGGCAGGGGUUGCGCUCGUUGCGCCACUUAAGGCAACACCUCACGGCACGAGCUGACGACAGCCAUGUACCACCUGUGCAGGCUCCGAAGAGCACCCGCUUUCACCGGGGUUUCACUAGGAUGUCAAGCCCAGGUAAGGUUCUUCGCGUUGCUUCGAAUUAAACCACAUGCUCCACCGCUUGUGCGGGCCCCCGUCAAUUCCUUUGAGUUUCAGCCUUGCGGCCGUACUCCCCAGGCGGGGCGCUUAAUGCGUUAGCUGCGGCACGGAACUCGUGGAAUGAGUCCCACACCUAGCGCCCAACGUUUACGGUGUGGACUAC